rnacentral:lncRNA from 1 species
UGCUUGAAGACCAACCACACUGAGCUGCUGGAUCAAACAGCCCCGGAGUGCACCAUAACCUUGGAUUUCUGUAUGCGAGUCAUUUCAUUUUCUCUUAAAGCUGACUUUAGUGGAGUUUCUUUUUCUUUGCAAUUAAAACACCCUAAUGGUCCCCCCUCAAUUUGGACGAACCCUCAGUCUCAUGGUUCAGCAUGCUUCUCACUCAAUGUUCACCUAAGUGCGGGUGCUUGUCUAUUAGCACCUUAAAAAUGCAAAAUGUGAAUUGAAAUUUCUAACAUGAUAUUUUUAAGUUUGUUCUUUUAUAAUCUACAAUGUUUCAACAAAUUAGUGUUGCACACAAUAAAAAUUGUGCAAUUGCAAGUACACAAACACACAAAUACAUUAUUCCCUCCAAAACGUUGAUUUUUUUUUCCCCUCGUUAAGAUUACACUAAGUAGACAGUAGGGCUCUAGUAAAAACAGUGAGCAAAAACCAUAGUAACAGGCAUGACACCAAGGAUAUCACAAUAGCCCACAAUCUACCUAUAACACAGUUUGUUGGAAUUAAAUUAAAAUCUAAAUGUUAACAUUUGUGUACUUUGCAAAUUAAGAGUUAACAUAUUGUAUUCCUCAAUUACUCCAUAGACCAGAACUAGAAAAUAAAACAUAAAAUUGAAGUCCCUGUACUUUUCCUUAAUAAGGUCAUCUAAAUUUUGAGACUCCUAUACAUUUUCCAGAUGUAGAUUCCACAUUAAUUUCACAAUUUAAUUUUGAAACAUACAUUUAUUUCAAGUGUUCACAGAUGUUAGAAUUCAAAUACUCAUAUUUAAGACACAUACAUUCUCUGGCAGUAGUAAAUAUAUACUAUAUUUUUGAAGAAUUCACAGAACACUUCAAAAAAUGUUUGUGUAAGGUCGAAGAAAAAAGUAACGACAUUUUAACUGAAAUCUGCCUCAUGACAAUUAUGAAAGAACAAAAGCAGAUAAUUAACCUGUUUAUUGUAAUAUAAACACCAGUAAGUUUUAGAUAAACUAUCUAAUGAAUGGUCUAGAAUAUAACAAUAUGGUAAACAUCAUCUCCAAACAAAUUUUUAAAUAUUUGACUUAAGUGGAAAAUAAAAAGCAAUAGUAUUGGCAUUUGCCCAAGACACUCACUUGCAGGUUCCUGUAUUGAUUUUCUAGAUCUACAGAGUAUCUUUCAUCUCGAGAAUUCCAAUGUAAUGUCAAAAAUCUUGAAAAUAACCAGGGGCUAACACACUGCCUAGUUCUCCUCAAAAAACUCCCUAAGCGAUUAUAUAUCCAUCAACAUGUAAGAAUCAGCUUAAACAAUUAUAUUUAAAGAAUAACUCUUGGAGGCCAGGCACGGUGGCUCACGCCUGUAAUCCCAGCAGUUUGGAAGGCCGAGACAGGUGGAUUGCUUGAGCCCAGGAGAUCGAGACCAGCCUGGGCAACAU